AUUUGCGGUCAGAAUAAGGGGAAUACAGGAAAAUAAUAGAGAUGACUUGAGAAAGAUGUCUGCUGAAGUUCUGGCUGUGAUUUUAAAGAAGGAAAAAACGUUAUGACCUACCCAAAUCUCCAGGGAAGGAUAGGAAUUGCAACAUAGGAGGCCAAUCUAACUACAGCUUGUUUUCUGGCUUAAAUAUGCAAGUGGGGAAGAUCUGCAACAUGGAGAAAUAAAGAAUAUCAUUAUUAAAACU